rnacentral:rRNA from 1 species
UUUGCCUACGGGGCGCAGCAGUGGGGAAUAUUGCACAAUGGGGGAAACCCUGAUGCAGCGACGCCGCGUGAGUGAAGAAGUAUUUCGGUAUGUAAAGCUCUAUCAGCAGGGAAGAAAAUGACGGUACCUGACUAAGAAGCCCCGGCUAACUACGUGCCAGCAGCCGCGGUAAUACGUAGGGGGCAAGCGUUAUCCGGAUUUACUGGGUGUAAAGGGAGCGUAGACGGCUGUGCAAGUCUGAAGUGAAAUGCCGGGGCCCAACCCCGGAACUGCUUUGGAAACUGUACAGCUAGAGUGCAGGAGGG